AACGAACGCUGGCGGCAUGCCUAACACAUGCAAGUCGAACGAGACCUUCGGGUCUAGUGGCGCACGGGUGCGUAACGCGUGGGAACCUGCCCUUAGGCUCGGAAUAACUCCCCGAAAGGGGUGCUAAUACCGGAUAAUGUCCUCGGACCAAAGAUUUGUCGUCCUUGGAUGGGCCCGCGUUGGAUUAGCUAGUUGGUAGGGUAAAAGCCUACCAAGGCGACGAUCCAUAGCUGGUCUGAGAGGAUGGUCAGCCACACUGAGACUGAGACACGGCCCAGACUCCUACGGGAGGCAGCAGUGGGGAAUAUUGGACUAUGGGCGAAAGCCUGAUCCAGCAAUGCCGCGUGAGUGAUGAAGUCCUUAGGGUUGUAAAGCUCUUUUACCCGGGAUGAUAAUGACAGUACCGGGAGAAUAAGCUCCGGCUAACUCCGUG
rnacentral:rRNA from 1 species